rnacentral:rRNA from 1 species
UUCGAUAAUACACGAAAAACCUUACCAAGGUUUGACAUCCCUCGCAAAGCCAUAGAAAUAUAGUAGAGGUUAUCGAGGUGACAGGUGGUGCAUGGCUGUCGUCAGCUCGUGUCUUGAGAUGUUAGGUUAAGUCCCGCAACGAGCGCAACCCCACUCUUUAGUUACUUGUCUAAAGAGACUGCACAGUAAUGUAGAGGAAGGAUGGGAUCACGUCAAGUCAUCAUGCCCCUUAUGCCUUGGGCUGCAAACGUGCUACAAUGGCGAACACAAUGUGUUGCAAACCAGCGAUGGUAAGCUAAUCACCUAAUUUCGUCUCAGUUCGGAUAGGAGGCUGCAAUUCGCCUCCUUGAAGUUGGAAUCACU